AUGGCUUAGAAAGAAACAAUUUUUCCAAUGCAGGUUUCCUGUUGAGUGAUGUUUCAUAGUAGAACCAAAGCAGAACCACUGCGAAUCAUGGUAUUCAAAUCUUAUCUGAGAUCGCCCGUACAUGGAUCCUAGCAAUGUUCAGAAAGUGUCAAUUGAAGAAUAGCAUCUUGCAGGCUUUCUCUACUUGUAUUAAUAGGACCCUUCCAGUGGUUGCCAAAAGACAAUGAGUAUCUUUAAAAUGCUGAAGGAAAAAAAUAUUGUUAACCUAUAAGUCUAUAACCGAUGAAAAUAUCCUCCAAAAAUAAAAGCUCAAUAAAAACAUUUUCAAAUGGACAAAAAUAGAGGUUUUUAUCACCAACCAUGCUGCACUACAAGAAAUGUUAAAGGAAGUUCUGGCAGAAGGAAAAUGAUAUCAGCGGGAAGCCUGGAUCAGUAGGAAGGAAAGAAAAGCAUCAUGAAGGGACAAAAAGAAUGUGUGACGGAACCAGGAUUCAAAUUUAUAUCUCCGGAUCGCAAGUUCUAUGCCAUUUCCACAAUGCUGCAAAUUGUAUUUGUAAGUAUAUGGAAUAAGGUGCAUGCUGCAUGGUAUGGUCCAAGAAACAAUGAUCCUGGACACCUCCCUAAAAAUACCUUCUCCUUCUUGCUGCUUGUCAUGAAACCCCAAAUGUUUCCACCCUAAAUAAUCAUUCCUUUGGGUCUUGAAAGCGGUUUAAUCUCAAAAACAAUUUGUUCACAUGCUAUAAGGAAUAAUGUUGUAAGGCAUCUGUUCUCAAAGUGGGUCAUUCCUUGCUAGACUAUAAGCUCCAAGAAGGGAAGAAUCACUGCUCUCACUUAUGAAGACUUCAGUGCACCAAGUAUGUUCUCUAAAUGUAUUUGUUCAAUACAAGUUAAUUGAAAUAUAUGGAAAACUAAUUCAUAAGAUGUUAAUAGGGAUUAUCUGAAAAAAUCCAUAAUCAAAUACACUUGAUCAAUGUUAGGUCAAACAACCUUUAUACAGGUCUAUUUACUGGGGAAUUCCCAGAAGGUUUAUAAAUCUGCAAUUAUCUAUUGUGAUUCUCAGAGAAGGAACUAGAUUUUCGAAGUUUGCAAACUUAUUUUGCCAUGGAGCCUUUUCAUUUCCCUCAGAGCAUUUUAUGAUUUUGAAAGUGCUGCUAAAAGUGAUGCUGACCUAAUGGAUAUCAAUAGUAAUUAGCUAACAGAGAGCUAAGAUCAAAGUCCUGUGGGGCACGGCAUAGGGUAGAAACCUGUGCGGAAGGGUGAUGAAAGAAGCAGCAGGGAAACUCAAAAGAUAAACUAUGCCUACUGUUCAAAAUUUUCCCUAAUUCUCACUUCUGAACCCAUAACAUAAUCUUUUAAGGGCAGAGAAUAUAAAUAUGUAGUCACUAAUCUGGCACAAUUUCCCAAAUGCUGUGACCACUUUCUCCCUUACAAUAACAUCUGGAGGCCAGUCACGGUCCUCCACACCUAUCUGCAGAUCAGGGCAAUCUUCUGCUGCUGGAAAUCCUAGGGGCAAGUUAGCUGGCUACACCUAGCAACCGUACAGACCAUGUGGAUCACACUUCUCUGUGAUACUCUUACCUCACCUUUAUAAGUUUAACUCCCAAAUUUCUCUUUUAUCCUGAUUUCCCCAUCUAUUUUAUCUGGUCUUUUUUUUCUGUAAGUAUUUUUGCAAGCUCUUUUGAGUCUUUAUUUGCUGGACAGGAAUAUAAAUAAACACGUGAAUAAUAUCGCCAGACAGUUUAGGAGGUACUGGGGCCCAGUCUCUACUUUUACAAAGCUCCUAAUCCAUCAGGAGACCAACACCUAAACAGACCAUUACAACGCAAUGUGACAGGGUUCUAUAUUGGGACAUGCACAAGGUGUAAAAUAAACAAACAUCAUCUAGGGAAAUCCAGGAUGCUUCACUUUGAGACAAUUCAGUAGUUCAUCUAAUUUCAAAUGCCAAGUAACUCUACAACUAUUUCUCUCUGGAUGGGAAAUGCAUAUUAGAACUUUUUCAAGCAAAAGAUCCUCCCCUCUUAAAUGAUUUUCCUCAGGACAACAUUGAAAUAUUGCAGAGAUGGCAAACAGGAAUCUCACCAAGUUUAGGGUGACAGAGGGAAAUCAAUCUGGAGUUAAAAUAUAUCUCAAAUAUUCCACAGUGAUCUUACACAUCUUAGUAACUACUUAUAUAUAUGGAAGUUUGUUAAGUGCUUUAAUAAAUACGAAGCUUAGCAAAUUACAACUGUGGACCAAAUCUAGCCCAGCACUUGUUUUUGUAUGGCCAGAAACUAAAACUGACUUUUACAUUUUUAAAUGUCUGGAGAGAAAAAAAGCAGAAUGGAAUAUUUUGAAAUGUGAAAUCUCUAUAAAAUAUGAAUUUUAAUGUUUAUAAAUAAAGUUUUUAUUGUUUUUUAACACAGACAUGUUCCUUAAUGUAUUGUCCAUGGCUACUUUGCCCUACAACAGUAGAGUUGAGUAGUUGCAGUAGAGACAAUAAUGACCCACAAAACGUAGAAUAUUUACCCUCUGGUCCUUUACAAAGAAAAUUUACUGACCCCCGAGACACGCCAUUGUUCAAUCUGCACAUGAACUAUAAAGAAGUUAGGCAAGUAGCCGCUACAAUUGAACAAAUGAAGAAAGACACUAAGGAGUCUUAAGAUCACAUCUCCUGUGAGUACUUAUUCUAGGCAAUUAAAUGCAGAUUCCUGACCUCACAUGGAAUCUCUUUCCAUUACAGUAAACAUACAUUUUGGCCAUUUUGCUUCAGUUGUUACUGAUAUUGUUUGAAAUUUUGUCUUGGUUUUGUUUAUUUUAGAUAGGGUACAAUUUCUGGUUCCUUCUGCUGAAGUGGGAAAACUCUCUGGCCUAUAAAUACUCAAAAAAUCUGAAGUGAGGUCAGGUUGACUCAAAAACCCACACUCAGAAUUUGCUGCCCAGAGAAAGCUUUUGACAAAAUUCAACACCCAUUUAUGAUAAAAACCCUCCAGAAAGUAGGCAUGCAGGGAGCUUUCCUCAACAUAAUAAAGGCCAUAUAUGACAAACCCACAGCCAACAACGUCCUCAAUCUCAAUGGUGAAAAACUGAAAGCAUUUCCACUAAGGUCAGGAACAAGACAAGGUUGCCCACUCUCACUACUCUUAGUCAACAUAGUUUUGGAAGCUUUAGCCACAGCAAGCAGAGAAGAAAAGGAAAUAAAAGGAAUCCAAAUUGGAAAAGAAGUAAAGCUGUCACUGGUCACAGAUGACAUGAUACUAUACAUAGAGAAUCCUAAAG